UCUUAGGGAUGAUAAAGCGAAUGAGAUGACGAGCCCGAUGCAACUUUUUGAUGUGGAAAAAUCGAGGCACUUGUCUGAGAGAA